GCGUAGGCGGCUGAUUAAGUCGGAUGUGAAAUCCCUGAGCUUAACUUAGGAAUUGCAUUCGAUACUGGUCAGCUAGAGUAUGGGAGAGGAUGGUAGAAUUCCAGGUGUAGCGGUGAAAUGCGUAGAGAUCUGGAGGAAUACCGAUGGCGAAGGCAGCCAUCUGGCCUAAUACUGACGCUGAGGUACGAAAGCAUGGGGAGCAAACAGGAUUAGAUACCCUGGUAGUCCAUGCCGUAAACGAUGUCUACUAGCCGUUGGGGCCUUUGAGGCUUUAGUGGCGCAGCUAACGCGAUAAGUAGACCGCCUGGGGAGUACGGUCGCAAGACUAAAACUCAAAUGAAUUGACGGGGGCCCGCACAAGCGGUGGAGCAUGUGGUUUAAUU
rnacentral:rRNA from 1 species